rnacentral:rRNA from 1 species
UACGUAGGGGGCUAGCGUUGUCCGGAAUCAUUGGGCGUAAAGAGCGUGUAGGCGGCUUGGUAAGUCCGCUGUGAAAGUCCAGGGCUCAACCCUGGAAAGCCAGUGGAAACUGUCAGGCUAGAGUCCGGAAGAGGCGAGUGGAAUUCCCGGUGUAGUGGUGGAAUGCGUAGAUAUCGGGAGGAACACCAGUGGCGAAGGCGGUUGCCUGGAGCUUUGCUGACGCUGAUGCGCGAAAGCGUGGGGAGCAAACAGG